rnacentral:rRNA from 1 species
AUUGAACGCUGGCGGCAGGCUUAACACAUGCAAGUCGAACGAGUGGCGGACGGGUGAGUAAUGCUUGGGAAUCUAGCUUAUGGAGGGGGAUAACUACUGGAAACUGUAGCUAAUACCGCGUACCAUAGGCUGAGCCCAUGUGGGAUUAGGUAGUUGGUGAGGUAAAGGCUCACCAAGCCGACGAUCUCUAGCUGGUCUGAGAGGAUGACCAAGAACACUGCGACUGACAACACGCCCAGACUCCUCGGUGGGGCAGCAGUGGGGAAUAUGGCACAAAGGGCGCAAGCCUCAUGGAGACCUGCCGCGUGUAUGAAGAAGGGCAUAGGGUUGUAAAGGUAUUUCAGUGGGGAGGCGUUACCGGCAGAAGAAGCACCGGCUAACGCCGUGCCAGCAGCCGCGGUAAUAC